UGUUUAUCCACCCAUACAUUGGUUUUCUUUGUCUGAUUUAUCUUUGUUUUCUUUUUCAGGGCUCGUGCUUGGGCCAAGUAUUGUUGGCCAAAUAAGGACUGGUCCUCUUUAGAUUCUUUAAAGUCACUACAUAUUCAAAAUAAAGUAUUAUGUGGAAGACACUUUAACUCCUCUCAAUUCUAUGAUAGUGAAAGGCAAAAACUGAACAAAUUUGCUGUUCCUGAAUCUUCUGAAGUAGAAGAACUAUUAAGGGCUAGAGAAAUUAUUGUUGAGCAGGGUAUAAAACAAACUAUUACAGCAGGACAAUCAACGACAAGAACACCAUUGAAACAAAUCGAAAAUACAAUGGAACCUUCUACAUCAAGUCACAAAAGUUUUGUAGAAGUUCCAAGUACUUCCAGCAAGGAACAAUUUCAGUAUGCACCAAGACUGGUAUCUGCAUCAAAAAGUGCCACUGAAGAUCAUGCUUUGCCAUCUCAUCUCACACCGAAGAAAAAUCGUGGCAUUUUACAAACACUAAAUAUUACAAAAAUUAGUCAAAUGUCUACAAGAGAAGUAAAAUUAUACUAUGUGUGCCAAAAAAGAUUAAGGGAAAUAAUGAGACUUAGGAAACAAUUGAAAAAAAAGAAGAUGAAUAU